CCUCCAGUUCAUUUCUCCAGCGGCCGCACCAGGCGUGUCCAUAGCUCCGCUCCCGGGAGCUCGUCUCCGGCGUGGGGCGUGUGCGCACCCCUGGCCGGGAGGAGCCUGGAGCCUGCUCAUUAGCAGCGCGGGCAGCUCUUGCGCCCGCAGGAGGGAGGCGGAAGCACAGCCCUGCGCCGCCAGCAGGAGGAGGGAGCGCGGCGGCUGCAGGCAGGGGAGGGAGAGGAAAGAACGGAGGGACGGCUCCCGGACAGAGUGGGAGGAAUCGGGGAGCGGCCGGUCCGGGGGGAGCUGCUCCGCUGCGCUGCGCUCGUUAUUCACAGGACGCGGCGGCGUUUCCCGGGGCCGCUUCCCGGUCCCCUGGGUGGAGGCUGCCGUCUAAACCUGACUCCAGAGUUUAAGAUGCAAUGGCCAGAAGACAUGAGCGUGUCACUAGGAGGAUGUGGACGUGGGCUCCGGGGCUGUUGAUGAUGACGGUGGUCUUUUGGGGUCAUCUGUGGAAUGGACAAGGCCAAGUGAUGAAGAAGACAUGCCAACAGAGGGUUAGUUCCAGAUAAAAUGAAAUGUUCCAAACAGUAUGUAUUGUUUAUUUGAAUCAUCUGUGGGGGAAGGAAAGAUAAUUUUCCAAAGGACAUUCCUCCUAAAUUCUGUC